GUGAAGAUCUGGACUUCAGAGCAUGUCUUUGACCACUCAUGGGAAACUGUUACAACAGCUGCAAUGCAGAAAUACCCAAACCCUAUGAACCAACUGUGGUUGGAGUUGAUGUGUUGGACAGACAUGUAGAUCCCUCUGGAAAGUUGCACAGCCACAGACUUCUCAGCACAGAGUGGGGACUACCUUCCAUUGUGAAGUCUCUUAUUGGUGCAGCAAGAAUGAAAACAUAUGUGCAAGAACAUUCUGUAGUUGAUCCUGUAGAGAAAACAAUGAAACUUAAAUCUACUAAUAUUUCAUUUACAGAUAUGGUUUCAGCAGAUGAGAGACUUAUAUACAAACCACGUCCUCGGGACCCAGAAAAAACUAUUUUGACUCAAGAAGCCAUAAUCACCAUGAAAGGAGUUAGCCUCAGCAGUUACUUUGAAGAACUGAUGGCAAGUAUGAUAUCCUCAAACACUAGUAAAGGCUGAGAAGCAAUAGAAUGGGUAAUACAUAAAUUAAAUGCUGAGAUUGAAGAACUGACAGCCUCAGCAAGAGGAAGCAUAAGGACUCCAAUGGCAGCAGCAGCUUUUGCAGACAAGUGA
rnacentral:lncRNA from 1 species